GAAAAUUGAGAAACUGCUGAAUCAGCUAAAACGGGAAAUAUAUGAAGAAGAAAAAAUCCAAUGUCGAGGUGCAAUUUCACAACUGUGAGAAAACAAAACACAGAGACAGAGGGAUAUGGAACAAGAACAAGAAGAAGGAAGCCUAGAAAGCUUGCUGAAAUGGACUGCGGAGAUCGGAAUAUCAGACUCUCCGUCGUCGAACCGCCCUCUCUCCUCCUCCUCCUCCUCCUCCUGUCUCGGUCAAUCUCUCUCCGUCUCACAAUUCCCUGACUCUGGCGGGAGAGGCUUAGCAGCUGUCCGUGAUCUUAGAAAAGGCGAAUUGAUCCUCAGAGUUUCAAAAUCAGCCCUAAUCACCACUCAAAUUCUAUUCAAGGACCAGCCGCCACUCUCUCUUUCCAUCAAUAAACACCCUUCUCUAUCCUCCACUCAGGUGAAUGAUGCUAUCUGAGCUGCAGAAAAGGCUAAACUGAAGGCUGAAUUCGAUUGGAAAGAAGCUAUUUCCCUUAUGAAAGAACUUAACUUAAAGCGUCGUCUCCUAUCUUUUACUGCAUGGCUUUGGGCUUCUACAAGUAUAUCCUCCCGUACGUUGCAUGUACCAUGGGAUAAUGCUGAGUGUUUAUGCCCUGUGGGGGACUUGUUGAAUUAUGCGGCACCUGGGGAGGAGGACUUCGGUUCUGAAGACCCCUUGUCUCUGAAGACUCAAGCAGUAGGAGAAAUGCCUCUUCUUUGCAAGUAAAUUUUUCAUGGAAUGGAGACACCACAGAACAAUUUGAUGUAGCACAGAUUGAUCCAAAUUUACUGAGAUUAACGGAUGGUGGCUAUGAGGAUGAUGUCUCUGCAUAUUGCUUCUAUGCUAGAAGAAACUAUAAGAAAGGAGAGCAGGUCCGUCUAAGCUAUGGGACAUAAACAAAUUUGGAGCUUCUUGAACACUACAGGUUUUUUCUAGAUAAAAACCCAAAUGAUGAGGCUUUUAUUCCCUUAGAACCUGAAAUUUAUUCGUCGUGUUCAUGGCCCAAGGACUCACUAUACAUUCACCCAAACGGGAAGCCAUCCUUCGCCCUACUCUCUGCUCUGCAGUUAUGGUUAACCCCUCCAAGCCAGAGGCGAUCUGUUGGACACCUUGUUUAUUCAGGAUCUCAACUAUCAGCGAAGAAUGAGAUAAUUGUCAUGGGAUGGAUAGUGAAGAACUGCAAAGUAAUUUUGAAGAAAUUUGUGACAUCAAUUGAGGAAGACAAGUUACUUCUCUGCACCAUUGACAAAAUGCAAGAUUUUUGUACUCCUGCAGAGCUUGAGAGACUCCUAUCAACAUUUGAAGGCGAGGCUCGCGUUUUUGCAGAAACCAAGGGUCUCAUCAAUGGAGAGACUAGUGUAAAUUUACUUCAAUCGAGGCAGAUGCAGAGAUACAUGGAUAGAUGGAAAUUGGCAGUUCAGUGGAGACUUAUGUACAAGAAAACCCUAGCUGAUUGCAUUGCUUAUUGUUCUAAGGUAAUUGAUGGGCAUGGUGGUUGGCAAUGUCGGAUUUGGCAAAGAUGAUGGAAUUUGGGUGCUUGGCAAAGGUGGCAAUGUGGGUUUUGGCAAGGUUGGGGCUGCUGGCAUCGUCGGCAAUGGUGGCAAUGUGGCUUGGGGGAUGGUCGGCAUUGUAGGCAAUGGAGGAAGUGUGACUUUCGGCGGAGACGGGAUUGAAGGCACUGUUGUCUGCAGUAGUUGGCGAGCAGCCUGAGCCACCACGGUUGUCCGGAUGCUUGAAAGUGAUAAUGCAUGAUCUGAGAUACAACCAAACAACUAUAAAAAGCAGCCAUUAUUGUUUGAUAGGAGUAGAAAGUUUUGAAGGAGAUAGGCUCUGUACUAAACAAGUUUGUUGUGUGUUGAAGAGAAGAACUUGCAUUAGUAGCGUAUUUUAUAGAGAACAAAUGUUGAAAGGCACAACUGAUUUGGAAAGACAAAUAUGAGUUUGAUGAGAUGUGGUUGGACUUUGGAGGAAUAAAGUUGAAAAACAUUAGUGGUUAGUUCAACUUCCCAUACUUUGAGAGACGGUAAAUUCAGAUGUUAUAAGUAAACCAAAAUGAAGUCUCAUUUGGAAAAGCCUUUUAUCUGUUGUCUCCCUUUGGUAUCCGUAACGGUCAUGAGACAAGACAGGUUCAGGGUAUGGGGUGUUGCAGUUCUAAUCACUCAAGUUGAGCCAUUGUCACUCUGAAAUUCUACUUCACCAUGCUAUCUUCAUCUCUGCUUAUUUUUUGGGUGAAUCAUCUCUGCUUAUUUCAUGAAGCCGAAGGGUGGAAUUUUUUCCACAAAAGUUUAAAUUAGCAUCUCGAGGGUUAGGAGCUAAUUCUCUUUUGGAUACUCUCUAGUUGAGCUCUGGCUUCCUCCACUCUCUUGAAAAUGUCACUGUUGCUUCUCUGGUUCAGCAUCUUUAGUUCAACCUUCAAAAUUUUCAACUUCUGAUCCAAUCCAUGAAAAAUACCUUUAACUUGUUUAAUCCGAACACCAGAAAUAAUAUUCAAGAAAUCAACAAUAAAAAAAAUGUAGAAG